GGAAAAAUUCCUCAAUUUUAGCAGAAAUGCUUAUUACCAGCCAACAUCUUGCAGGCCACGGUUCUUACUAGUUGGAGAGCCAGGAUGUGGGCAAGCUUCUCAUUUGGCACCUGCAGUAAUACAUGCCCUGGAAAAGUUUCCAGUUUAUACGCUAGACCUACCUGCUUUGUUUGUUACCGCCACAUCACCGGAAGAAACAUGUGCACGGUUGAUGCGAGAAGCUCAAAGAACAGCGCCGAGUAUCAUUUAUAUCCCACAUAUCCAUUUGUGGUGGGAGGCUGUUGGAGCUACACUGAAAGCUACUUUUACAACACUACUGCAG